rnacentral:pre_miRNA from 9 species
UCUCGACAGCGUAAAAGUUAACUCAUAUUUGUAUGGAGUUGGAACGUUUGCCGCUAGGGGCGCUGUUCCAACUGCAUACAAAUUUAAGAUAACUUUAACGCGAUCGA